AGGGUUUGAUCAUGGCUCAGAUUGAACGCUGGCGGCAGGCCUAACACAUGCAAGUCGAGCGGCAGCGGGAAAGUAGCUUGCUACUUUUGCCGGCGAGCGGCGGACGGGUGAGUAAUGCCUGGGAAAUUGCCCAGUCGAGGGGGAUAACAGUUGGAAACGACUGCUAAUACCGCAUACGCCCUACGGGGGAAAGCAGGGGACCUUCGGGCCUUGCGCGAUUGGAUAUGCCCAGGUGGGAUUAGCUAGUUGGUGAGGUAAUGGCUCACCAAGGCGACGAUCCCUAGCUGGUCUGAGAGGAUGAUCAGCCACACUGGAACUGAGACACGGUCCAGACUCCUACGGGAGGCAGCAGUGGGGAAUAUUGCACAAUGGGGGAAACCCUGAUGCAGCCAUGCCGCGUGUGUGAAGAAGGCCUUCGGGUUGUAAAGCACUUUCAGCGAGGAGGAAAGGUCAGUAGCUAAUAUCUGCUGACUGUGACGUUACUCGCAGAAGAAGCACCGGCUAACUCCGUGCCAGCCGCCGCGGUAAUAC
rnacentral:rRNA from 1 species